rnacentral:snRNA from 1 species
AUACUUACCUUGCAAAGGAAACAUCAGGAUGAGGAGUGCCCAUUAAACUUGGGGUGAGGUGACCCUUGCGAUUUCCUCAAAUAGAGGAAACUUGGCUGCAUAACUUUGAUAGUGGGGGACUGCAUGUGUGCUCUAA